rnacentral:lncRNA from 1 species
GAACUCGAGGAUGCUUUCGGAGCGUGGCCAACACCCGGUGCAGAAUGAGACGAGACGGCGGCAAAGCAGGAGAGGCAACCCCUCGCAAACAGACCUCAGCUCUGGGGACUCAGCAGGCCCAGGCUUGGGCUCUGAAAGUCGCUGCAGGCUGUCGCAUGAACAGCAUCCCCUGAACACGGGAGGAGAAUGUGCCUGCAGCUCUCGAAGCCCUAAACUUUCCUCCUCCUCGGGGCAGGGGUGAGUGUUCCAGCAUUUUCACCUUGCACGUCUCAGAGCCAGAAGCUCGUUCUGCCCCUGGUGCAGUGGUCCUCAGGGUGGGUUGGAAUGGGGUCUCUGCCCUCUGAGAGGCGGCUGAGGGAGCACACUCAACCACAGAGCCACCAACCUUUGACUCCUUCAGUGACAGCCUCCCAGCCGACCACUCAUGCUGCAAUUGCAUAUUUCAGAAUGCCUUCCUGAAAGUCUUUCCAUCGUUGUCUUAAUACCCC